rnacentral:tRNA from 1 species
GCCGGAGUGGUGAAACUGGUAGACGCACGGGACUCAAAAUCCCGCGGGCAGAAAUGCCCAUGGGGGUUCGACUCCCCCCUCCGGCACCA